AUAAAAGCUACUUUCGCAUGAAAGAAGUUUUAAAAGGCGGCGUAAAGCUGUCGCUAAAAGGGGAUGGACCUGCGAUGCAUUAGCUAGUUGGUAAGGUAACGGGCUUACCAAGGCGAUGAUGCAUAGCCCGAGUUGAGAGACUGAUCGGCCACAUUGGGGACUGAGACACGGGCCCAAACUCCUACGGGAGGCAGCAGUAGGGAAUCUUCCACAAUGGACGAAAGUCUGAUGGAGCAAACGCCGCGUGAGUGAAGAAGGUUUUCGGAUCGUAAAGCUCUGUUGUUGGUGAAGAAGGAUAGAGGUAGUAACUGGCCCUUUAUUUGACGGUAAUCAACCAGAAAGUCACGGGCUAACUACGUGCCAGCAGCCGCGGUAAAU
rnacentral:rRNA from 1 species